rnacentral:rRNA from 1 species
UGGGGAAUUUUGGACAAUGGGCGAAAGCCUGAUCCAGCAAUGCCGCGUGUGUGAAGAAGGCCUUCGGGUUGUAAAGCACUUUUGUCCGGAAAGAAAUCCUUGGCUCUAAUACAGUCGGGGGAUGACGGUACCGGAAGAAUAAGCACCGGCUAACUACGUGCCAGCAGCCGCGGUAAUACGUAGGGUGCAAGCGUUAAUCGGAAUUACUGGGCGUAAAGCGUGCGCAGGCGGUUUGCUAAGACCGAUGUGAAAUCCCCGGGCUCAACCUGGGAACUGCAUUGGUGACUGGCAGGCUAGAGUAUGGCAGAGGGGGGUAGAAUUCCACGUGUAGCAGUGAAAUGCGUAGAGAUGUGGAGGAAUACCGAUGGCGAAGGCAGCCCCCUGGGCCAAUACUGACGCUCAUGCACGAAAGCGUGGGGAGCAAACAGGAUUAGAUACCCUGGUAGUCCACGCCCUAAACGAUGUCAACUAGUUGUUGGGGAUUCAUUUCCUUAGUAACGUAGCUAACGCGUGAAGUUGACCGCCUGGGGAGUACGUCGCAAGAUUAAAACUUAAAUGAAUUGACGGGGUCAU